AAGAGAGUGGCAGAGUGGUUAUGUGUUUAGCUUGAAACUAAAAUAUGGGGGUUCAAUUCCUUCCUUUCUUG
rnacentral:tRNA from 1 species